GACGAACGCUGGCGGCGUGCCUAAUACAUGCAAGUCGAACGCAUUUUCUUUCACCGUAGCUUGCUACACCGAAAGAAAAUGAGUGGCGAACGGGUGAGUAACACGUGGGCAACCUGCCCAUCAGCGGGGGAUAACACUUGGAAACAGGUGCUAAUACCGCAUAAUUCCAUUUACCGCAUGGUAGAGGGAUGAAAGGCGCUUUUGCGUCACUGAUGGAUGGACCCGCGGUGCAUUAGCUAGUUGGUGGGGUAACGGCCUACCAAGGCUGCGAUGCAUAGCCGGCCGGAGAGGGGGAGCGGACACAGGGGGAUGGCGAGACGGCCCAGACUCGUAAGGGAGGCAGAAGUGGGGAAUAGAGAACAAUGGGCGGAAGCCUGAAGAAGGAACGCCGCGUGCGGGAUGACGGCAGUCGGGUUGUAAAACGCUUUCGCCUGUGACGAAGCGUGAGUGACGGGAAUGGGUAAAGAAGCACCGGCUAACUACGUG
rnacentral:rRNA from 1 species